UACGUAGGGUGCGAGCGUUAAUCGGAAUUACUGGGCGUAAAGCGUGCGCAGGCGGUGAUGUAAGACAGGUGUGAGAUCCCCGGGCUUAACCUGGGAACUGCACUUGUGACUGCAUUGCUGGAGUGCGGCAGAGGGGGAUGGAAUUCCGCGUGUAGCAGUGAAAUGCGUAGAUAUGCGGAGGAACACCGAUGGCGAAGGCAAUCCCCUGGGCCUGCACUGACGCUCAUGCACGAAAGCGUGGGGAGCAAACAGG
rnacentral:rRNA from 1 species